rnacentral:misc_RNA from 1 species
AACGCACAUUGCGCCCGCGAGUAUUCUCGCGGGCAUGCCUGUUCGAGCGUCAUUUCAACCAUCAAGCCCCCGGCUUGUGUUGGGGACCUGCGGCUGCCCGCAGGCCCUGAAAUCCAGUGGCGGGCUCGCUGACACACCGAGCGUAGUAGAUUUACAACCUCGCUUUGGGAGUGCUGCGGGUGCUAGCCGUAAAACGACCUUGUCUUUAGCACUAGGUUGACCUCGGAUCAGGUAGGAAGACCCGCUGAACUUAA